AGCAUAACCAGUAGCUCUCCAGGGGACGUUUGGUCUGCCUCCUGCUAUAUAUAGUACUGUAUAAUAAGGCAUAAUGUUGCCUUACCUAGGACAAAUGAGGCUGCCUAACUAGCAAUUUAUGCUUUCAGACAUAGGACUUUUACAUUUAAUUGGGGCUGAGGAAAGUUGUGGCGGUCUCCAUUCAGUCAAAGUUUAACUUAAACUCUCUAUGCCUCUCUCUCCCUUUCUCUCUGUCCUAUAUCCCCCUUUUUCUCUAUCUCUUUUCCCUCUCUCUCACACCUUCUCUCUGUUUCUCUUUUUCUCUUCCCCCCCUUCUCUCUCUCUCUCUCUCUCUCUCUCUCCUCUCUCUCUCUCUCUCUAUCUCCCUACCCACCUCUAUCUUCCUCCUCCCGCCCCCCUUCCCCCUUUCUCCUUCCAGGGGAGGUCUUUGACUACCUCGUCGCACAUGGGAGGAUGAGGAGAAGGAGGCCAGGGCUAAAUUUAGACAGAUUGUGUCAGCUGUACAGUACUGCCAUCAGAACCACAUUGUACACAGGACCUGAAGGUAAUGGAGGCUUUAUUACACACACACACACACACACACACCACACACCACACACACACACACACACACACACCACACACACCACAACCACACACAGAUGUAGGAUCUUAAUUGGAGCCAGUUUGCUACAGCAGGACACUGAUCCAGCAGCAACAGGAAAUUUGAGUUAUUAUGUGGAUUAUAAUUAACAGACAUGUUUUGUAAGGACUGAUAACAUUUUCUUAAGGGAAAAUCAAGAAAUGACAAACUUCAGAAGACUUCUUCACACUAGAACCACUAAAUCAGUCGUCAUUUGGACGGCUCAUUAAUUACAUUUUGAACGUCAUGCCCCUCUCACUCCAGACUUUUCCUAAAUAAGUCUGUUUAACACACUGUUGUUGUUACAAUCAUAAUAUAACAUACAGACCUGGUGUCAUAGCGAGUUUUAGCAGGGCAUGUCUUUUUUUUAAAUGGCUUUCCAGGGGAAAAAUUACAUGCCCUUUACAUGCCCUUUAUAAAAUAGGCCCUUCCUUCUCCUCACAGUUGAAGGUGCGGUUCCCAGUUUAGAAUCACCCUGAAAACUGCCUCGAAACUGAACCUAAAACUGUAACUGAAACUAAUGUCACAGAUACAACAAUGGAUGAAAUAAAUGAAUAAAGUAUAUUGGGGGAGAAAAGGGAUCAUGGAUCUUUUGUAAUCUCCAAAUGGUAAGUACCCUAUAUCAGUCCACCGAAUCCAAGCAGUCUUAUCAGUCUACUUUGGCCUACUUGGAGAACACAGUGAGAGCGUACGUCAUGUACAAUAUUAUUACAACCCAGACGAACGGGAUGCACAUUCUGUGUUAGCGCUGCGACAAGAUCUGAAUUAAAACCACUCAGAUUGCGGAGGAAGAAAUGGAUCAUGUUUAUUAUUCUUCUGAUUCCGAGCUCUCAACCUGAACCUGAAUCUACACCCAAAAAGCCAUAACCGGUGUGCACUGAGCCGGUAGGGACGACAACAUUUGGGAAGAACAAGCUUGUGAGCAAUGCUACACCGAUUAUCAGCACAAAAUGUCAUCACUGAGACAGCAGGCCCCACAUCUCAAACAGAAAACAACAUGCUCACCAGCUUUCAUUGUUUAUGUGACAUGGACAUGCUCCAACUGAUGCCACUGUGUUAAGAUGCACACCAUGUAAGCACGAGCUGACAGUCCAUUUAUUAUCUUUGAAUGUUUUCAUAUCGGCAUUUAAUAUCCAUUUUGUGCUGAUUUUCACUAUUUAUGUUUAGUCUACUGAUGUUUUCAUCAACUGACCGUGUGUCUGGCUGACCGUGCAACUUUUUCUCGCCAAUUUCCUGGUAUCCUAUUGGUAGUUAGUCUUGUCUCAUCGCUGCAACUCCUGUACGGACUUCAGGAGAGGCGAAGGUCUAGAGCCGUGCGUCCUCCGAAACAUGACCCAACCAAGCCGCACUGCCUCUUGACACAAUGCCCACUUAACCCAGAAGCCAGCCACACUAAUGUGUCGGAGGAAACACCGUACACCUGGCGACCGUGUCAGCGUGCAUGCGCCCGGCCCGCCACAGGAGUUGCUAGAGUGCGAUGGGACAAGGACAUCCCUGCCGGUCAAACCCUCCCCUAAACCUGACGACGCUGGGCCAAUUGUGCGCCGCCCAUGGGUCUCCUGGUCGGGCCGGCUGCGACAGAGUCUGGAUUCGAACCAGGAUCUCUAGUGGCACAGCUAGACCACUGCACCACUCGGUAGGCUUCCUGACUGUGCGUCUGGCUGACUGACUGACUGUGCGUUUGGCUCACUGACUGUGCGUCUGGCUGACUGACUGACUGUGCAUCUUGCUGACUGACUGUGCGUCUGGCUGACUGACUGUGCGUCUGGCUGACUCACUGACUGUGCGUUUGGCUGACUGUUUUAUUUCGUCAUUGUAAACAGAAGCUGUUUGAAGUCGGAAGUUGACAUACACUUAGGUUGUAGUCAAUAAAACUUGUUUUACCACCACUCCACAAAUUUCUUGUUAACAAACUAUAGUUUUGGCAAGUUGGUCUACUUUGUGUAUGACACAAGUCAUUUUGCCUACAAUUGUUUACAGAAAGAUUAUUUCACUUAUGAUUCACUGUAUCACAAUUCCAGUGGGUCUGAAGUUUACAUUCACUAAGUUGACUGUGCCUUUAAACAGCUUGGAAAAGUCCCGAAAAUGAUGUCAUGGCUUUAGAAGCUUCUGAUAGGCUAAUUGACAUAAUUUGAGUCAAUUGAAGGUGUACCGGUGAAUGUAUUUCAAGGCCUACCUUCAAUCUCAAUGCUUCUUUGCUUGACAUCAUGGGAAAAUCUAAAUAAAUAAAUUGUAGACCUCCACAAAUUUGAUUCAUCCUUGGGAGCAAUUUCCAAACUCCUGAAGGUACCACGUUCAUCUGUACAAACAAUAGUCCGCAAGUAUAAACACCAUGGGACCACGCAUCCAUCAUACCGCUCAGGAAGGAGAUGCGGUCUGUCUCCUAGAGAUUAACUUACUUUGUUGCGAAAAGUGCAAAUCAAUCCCAGAACAACAGCAAAGGACCUUGUGAAGAUGCUGGAGGAAACAGGUACAAAAGUAUCUAUAUCCACAGUAAAACGAGUCCUAUAUCGACAUAACCUGAAAGGCCGCUCAGCAAGGAAGAAGCCAUUGCUCCAAAACCGCCAUAAAAAAGACAGACUACGGUUUACAACAGCACAUGUGGACAUAGAUCGUACAUUCUGGAGAAAUGUCCUCUGGUCUGAUGAAACAAAAAUAGAACUGUUUGGCCAUAAUGACCAUCGUUAUGUUUUGAGGAAAAAGGGGUAGGCUUGCAAGCCGAAGAACACCAUCCCAACCGUGAAGCACGGGGGUGGCAGCAUCAUGUUGUGGGGGUGCUUUGCUGCAGGUGGGACUGUUGCACUUCACAAAAUAGAUGGUAUCAUGAGUCAGGAAGUUAAAGCUUGGUCGCAAAUGUGUCUUCCAAAUGAACAGUAACCCCAAGCAUACUACCAAAGUUGUGGCAAAAUGGCUUAAAGACAACAAAGUCAAGGUAUUGGAGUGGCCAUCACAAAGCCCUGACCUCAAUCCUACAGAACAUUUGUGGGCAGAACUGAAGAAGCGUGUGUGAGCAAGGAGGCCUACAAACCUGACUCAGUUACACCAGCUCUGUCAGGAGGAAUGGGCCAAAAUUCACGCAACUUAUUGUGGGAAGCUUGUGGAAGGCUACCCAAAACAUUUGACCCAAGUUAAACAAUUCUAAGGCAAUGCUACUAAAUACUAAUUGAGUGUAUGUAAACUUCUGACCCACUGGGAAUGUGAUGAAAGAAAUAGAAGCUGAAAUAAAUCAUUCUCUCUACUAUUAUUCUGACAUUUCACAUUCUUAAAAUAAAGUGGUGAUCCUAACUUUUACUAGGCUUAAAUGUCAGGAA
ensembl:lncRNA